UAGUGAUAAAGGCAAACCCAUCGAAAGAUGGCGACGCAAAGCUACAGGGGCUUCAGCGAUGAUACUCGCUAUGCCAGCCAGUUACCGAU
rnacentral:ncRNA from 1 species